rnacentral:tRNA from 1 species
UUCCAGUCCGUCCAGAUUGUGUAUGGUGUGGUGCGUCGCGGCGACGGCGUCACGCCGUCGCCCAGACGCACC